AUGCCGCCAGUAGGAGGAGUAGAUGAUUACACGGAGCAGGAUUCCCCGCAGGCGACCGGCCACCAUGGCUGCCCCGAGGACGUUUCGUCUUCUUCGCCGACGCUCCCCGUCAUUGCUUCAAUAGCUUCCGAGAAGAAGAAGCAGAGGCGCGAUCGCGAGCAGCAGCCCGCGGCAAGCCUCCCCGACGACAUCAUCAUCGAAAUCCUGUCGCGGGUGCACUACAAGUCGCUCUGCCGUUUUAAGUGCGUGUCCAAGCAGUGGCUUGACCUUUGCUCCGGCCUCGACACCCACAAGAGGUCGCCGCAGGCCCUAUCCGGCCUCUACUUCUUGGACGAGGAACACCAAGGCCUCAGUUUCCAUGGUCUGACCGGGGGUGGCCCCCGUCUGGUCGAUCCCGAUCUCUCUUUCUUGCGCAAGAGCUACGAAAGCUUAGAGGUCACACAAUGCUCCAGCAGCCUUCUCCUUUGCAUGUGUUGGAAGAACUCGUACUCACCGCGGGGUGAAUGUGAUUAUGUCGUGUGCAAUCCGGCAACCGAGAAGUGGACUCUGUUGCCUCUGAUAGAAUGCAUGGACCAAGCGGACGUCGAACGCUAUUUGGGUUUCGACGCAGUCAAGCCCUCUAGCUUCGUUGUGGUUGCGCCCUUGACAGAUAUUUAUCAACUAAUCAGAAAAGUAGCGAUCUACUCAUCGGGAACUGAACGAUGGACUUACGUGGAAAGUGGGUGGGCUUCUGAUACUAUGGUGGGUGAUCAAGAUGCCAUAUUCUUGAAUGGCAUUGUGCAUUUGACUACCUGUGGUUCUUCAAUAGUAACAGUGGACAUAGAAGGAAAGAUUUGGAGAGAAAUUAGAGUGCCACACUUCGACGCCAUUGGGCUAUCUCAGGGAUGCUUGCAUGCUUGGCGUGUAGAUGUUCUUAAUGGUUGCCAACUCUCUCUUUGGGUUCUUCAGGAUUAUGACAGCGAGAACUGGACUCUAAAGCACACUGUCAAUGUUUUGGAAUUAUUUGGAAGUCAUUGUCGCAAAGAUCAUGAGUCCUACAUGGUGUUGGCCAUUCAUCCAAAUUGUAAUCUGAUUUUCCUUACCGAUGGGGAGAUGACAGUCUUGUAUGAUACGGAUAAUCGGAAAGUGAAUGUUAUCAGCUCUUCUGUAGAUUUCGUGGGUUGUGCACCUUAUAUUCCCUGUUUCACAAAAUGGCUGUCCGAUGGACGCUGA
rnacentral:rRNA from 1 species